rnacentral:lncRNA from 1 species
CUACAUUAAUGGCGUUCGUUUGAUCACCCUUUGCUACCAAUUGUUGUACUUGCUGCAUUGUGAGUGAUUUACCCAGUGAGCAUUUCUCGUCAGAGAUUUGAUUGCCUAAGUCCAGUUGUAGGGAAGAUGAUUUCUUGGAUUUGAUCAAGUGAUAGUACUUCUCUGUAGCUCCCCACCAUUUAGAAACAGAAGGUUGAGCCUCAGAUUUUGAAGACGAUAACGAGGCAAUGAAAUCAGAUAUUAUGGCUUUCUGAGAUGGCUUGAAAUUUCCAUACCAGAUGAGAUUGACGGUGAUCUUGCCAGUAAGAAGUGGGCCCUUGUGGUAUUUGAAAAGCAUAGGAUCUUGAUUUUCCAAUAUUCUUGCUGCUGAAGCACAACUGAGUAACAAAAAUGCAGAUAUCAAGACCAUAUUGAUGGAGAAACUGGCUGCCAUUUUGAAUUGGGAUUUGAUAUGAAAAGGAAAGUGGAAAAUAUGUGGAAUUUCUUUGUUUUCGAGAGGAUUUGAUGGUGGAAAUAGAGAGCUGAGGCAAUUCUUUAUAUAGGGAGUAUGGACUCAGAUCAGAACAGAGGAAGGCUCAACGAAGGAGACAAGAAUUUAGAAUGUGCCAGCCUUGAUAUUAUUGGAUUGGAUACGCGUUUUCACUUUAAUGAAUUCAUGAGUUUUUUAAAUAAAGUUGGGAGUUGACCCCACGACAUAAAAACAUUAUGUGCCAGCCAGCAUGGAUUUGAGGAAGGGACUACCUCUAAAUAUUUAUGAUCUGCUUGAUUUCCAUAAAGUCAACCUAAUGUUCAAAUUACCACAAGUUGCAAGAGCUUAAAGAUCAAAGUCUAGUUCAAGUGAUGAGAAUGAAGUUUUUACCAUAUUAGUAAAUAGUAAUUUGAGUUCGAUUCUCAGUUCGAUUACCAUAUUAAUAAAUAUAAAAUCUUGAAAAACUACACUUCAUUUGAUCUAAUCAUACUUUUCUGUGAUCAUAAACCAACUAAAGUAUCUUUUUAUAAAUUACAUGAUGUUGGUAUAGUUGUUUGUUAAUCUUUUUUUUCUCAUUUGCAAUUUUGAAAUAAUAAUAAAUUCCACUAAAAUUACAAGAAUUAAUAAAUACGAUAUAAAUUCAACUUUCAAUUUGUUCGUUUGAGAUUGGGUGCAAGUUCGGGAAAAAAAAAUAAUUGUUGGAGUAUAAGUCGUAGGUUCAAUGCAACGUGUAAAUAAAAUUAUAAAUCCUACAAAAUACAUUGAUAAAAAUAUUAUGUAAUGAACUUAUAAAUUUGAAUAAACUUCACAGAACCUGCUCUAAAAUUGUCCAAAGGACUCAUUUUAUGACAAAUAUUCAAAAUAUUUUGAAAUCAAGUUGCAUGCAUGCUUGCACGUACACCGAACACUAGAAAUUAGAGCAACUUUAAUAUAUAUAUAUAUAUAUAUUCAAGCUGUCGCCUACGCUGUAUAGUCAAAGCAACAAACUAUAAUUAAUUAAAACAUUAGCUGAUGGUUGGCCGAAAGGAAUGUAAUUUUGUCUCCUUCCAUACCGUCCUCAAAUGCUGUUGGCCAAACAUAAUUUCAUUUUGUUUUAAUUAAAAAACGCGUUAUCAAGCUGUAUUUUAAGUGAACUCUCUCUCUCUCUCUCUCUCUCUCUAAAUAAAUAUACACUUCAAGGUUGUAUUUGAGAUUUUUUUCCCUGUCAACUUUGAAUUGGGGAUAAGGAGAUUAGGUUGUGGUUUUAGGCAAAAACUGUCAAAUUGAAAUAUCAAAUUUAACGAAAACCAAUUGCAAAGUUAGGAGGGGGACAGCGGGAAGUCGACACUCAAUAAUGUCAAAGUUUAUAUCACAUGUAACUUUCACAUAACUAAAUACUUAUUUACGAGUGUUUACAUUUUUAAUUAAGUAACAUCUCCUAUAGAAUGUGUGGAUAAAAAUCAAGUAAUAAGUUGUGGAUUCAUAGAAUAUGUAUAUAAUGUAGAUUUGAUCCGUUCAAGAUAUAAUUUAAACUGUGCCAAAAAUGUACUUAAGUUGAAGGAUAAAACUGUCAAAUAACUUAAUAUUCUUCUAAUUUUAACAUUCUCCUCACUAAUUUUUCCUCAUUUGGUAACACUGUAUAAAUAUUAAAUAGGUUGAUGAUUAACUUUAUAAGUUAGAGAACGAUUUCCGCACUGUUUAUGUACUACAAGCAUGAUUGUAAUCAUAUGCUGACGCAAAAGAUAUUGACAUCUUUGGUAAAUAUUAAAUUAAAUAAAUUAGACAUAAUAACAGAAAGAGUACAAAACAUAUGAAAUGUUUGUUCGGUAUCCCAUCUAAAUAAAGGUUUUAACACAUCCUUUUUGACUAAUGGAAAAGUUGGUGUAUAUAGCACCAAUAUAAGUAGCCAUUUUGUAUGAGUAAUUAGUAUUUGAGCUUGGAAGUGACAUUGUUUAUGUAUCAAAAUGUCUUUCUAGUGAUGUUUAGUGUUAAUUGGCACUCGAAUUAUUCUUAUAUUUGCACUUCUCAUAAAUUUGGAAAAUUAUAAUAAAUUGUUUCAAACUUUUGACCUUCUUGCAUUUUUGUUUCAAACAUUUAAAUUUAGACUAACAUCGAUAACUUACGCAUUUUUUGCACAGUUGAUCCUUUUGGAUAAAUUCAGUACAAAAUUAUUGUUAAAUUUGCGAGUGAGCUACACUUUCUUUAAGGGAUAAAUAGUAUACGCAAUCCCAAAGUUUGAUAAAAUUAGCGAUCUUGUCCCCAACCUUCAAGAGAUUAAAAGUAAAUACAUCUUAUUAAUAUGUUUCUAAAAAUACAAAUUUAUCUUUUGUUUUUAAAUAAAAUGAAAUAAAAUAAAAUAAUAUCCUUCCCAAUAAGUUUAUCAAAAGCAACCAUUGUUGCCACCACCACAAUCAAGCACAAAAUGACCGAAAUGAAUUGGAGCUUUUCUCAAUCUCCAAAAAUGAUAAAAAUGAGUUGGGGUGGUGGGGCUGCAACCAGGAGGAAAUGGGUGAAGACGGUGCUUAGUGUUUUAUUUUUUAAAUAUUUGUGUUUGUUGGAGGUGCACCAUUAGCCUGAUUUACUUUUAAGGUUAGUGAUCAGUUUCCUUUAUUAAAACAGCAUGUUCAAGUCACACGACUGAUCCAAUAGUAAGCUGACAAAAACUGUUAGGAGAGACUGACUUUUCCAUUUACCAAAGAUUAGGAACAGACAUAAGACAAGACAUUUGUAAGGGCAUGAACGCUACUUUUGUCAAAAUUGGGACUACAUAUGCAAUUUAUCCUAAUUUCAGUUAGUGGCGACCCUGAGUAUAGGCGAGAUAUACGAUCUCCUAAGGCCCCGUUCUGGUGAUGACCCUAAAUUAUGUAAAGUUAAUUAAUUGAUUGAAGAAAAAUGAGAAUCAUAUUUAUGAAAUUCUGCAAAAUAGAGUUAUCGUAUGCAAACAUAAGAAACUAAUAUAUAUAUAUAUAUAUACACACUUUAUUUUCCAAACAUUCAUUUUCUUUUCUUAACCAAACAAAAAGUCUAUUUAUCUCUUCAAAUUCCACGUCCAACAUUCACCUUCCAUUAUUUUUUCACCCAACAAAAUUUAAAUUAUUUCUCUUUGAAUUAAAAUUUUAAAGAUUUAUUGCAGAUUAGUUUGAUCUCAUUGCCAUUUUUAAAACCUUACACGUUUUUUUCUUUUUUUCUUAUCUUCAAAACACAUACUACAGAGUACAUAAGUUGUUAUUAUAUUGUUUUUUAACUUCAUGAUAAUAAUAUUUUUAGAUGUUCGCUGAAAAUGCUUUGAAUUUAAUAAUCCUUUAUCCGUAUUCAUACAGACACUUCUUAUUUUUAAAUUAAUUUCUUAUAAAUUAAUAUAAAAUUAGAAGUUCAUUUGUAUUUGAUCAUUAUUUUCAUUUUUUUUGUUACACUAUUUUUGUAGUCAAUAUUCUCCAAUUCUGUACAUAAAUCACUCAAAUGUAUAUUCAUUUUCGUGCGAAAAAGUUGCAGUGAGAAAAUGUCAUUGGAUUGUAAUUCUGAUUGUCAAACUUUAUUUUUAAAUUUUACUGCAAGUUGAAAUUUGAUAUUUUUUUAAUUUCCUCUUCAAAUUUUGGGGCUUAGUUGUCCGUAUUAGAUUCUUAAUAAUUAUAUUAAGCCACUGUUUGAAAUCGAUUAAAAUCUAAAUUUUAAUUUAACUAUAUAUUUUAUGGAUCUCACAACUUUAAAUUCACAUAUUUCAUCUACUUUUAUCCAAAUCUACUAAUAAUUUGAUUUUAAUCUCUAUCAAACAAAAGCUAAAACUCUAUAUAAGAAGACCCAAAAUAUCAUGGCCCCAUAUUUAAAAUUGGUAUAAGGUUCCCAAAAUAUCAGGGUCGGCCCCGAUUUCAGUCCUUGCAUAAAACUAACAGUCAUUUCGGAUGAAAACCAUAAAAAAGGUCCAUCUGUGCCAAAAAUGAAUAGUUUGGGACAUCAUUGUCACGAUUUAAAAGUUCAGGAGCAAAAAUGCAAGAUGGGUAAAGAUUUGGGCCCAUUUAUAUCAAUUUCCCUAUAAUAUUUUCUAUUUCAUAAUUUUUCUCUUAUGAAAAAGACGAAGUUAGAUUCGUAUUAUAAUAAUCUUUAACCAACAAAGGUCUAGGUGAUUAAAGUUUAGGUAUGAAGUUUAAAAAAAAUAAAAAAAAAUAAAAAUGUCAUUUAACUUGUAGAAAAAUUCAUCACUUGUCUUUAUUUUGUUCUAAUAGCUUGUAAAAGUAAUCAAUUUAUUACAUCAUCAUCAUCAAUCUGGUUUGUAAUAUUCAAGAAAAUUUGUACAUGACUAAUUAAAAAUGGUUACACGUUGUGAGUGGCAAUACCUUGUUAAUUUUAUAAGUUGAACCUCCACAUCAAAAACUCAAAAUAAUGCUAACCAAUAACUCGUAAACAAACUUAGCAACUCAAUCGAAUUAAUGUGCAAAAAGGAUCAGAAAAUGAAUGAAUAAAUUAAUCUUGUAAGUAUACAUUUACAUUGUACCCAACAUUAUAGCGUCAAAAAAGUAAAAUCUAACAUCUUAUUACAAUACUUUCUAUACCAAAGUCGAACAUGAUUUAGUGGUAGGAUCAAGUAAAGCCGGAACCAAAUAUUUUCUUCCAUUGACACCAUUUGCAUUGUAGCUAGCACCGGUCGUGGGGUCCACUAGCAAGUCCCCGGCGUAGCCCGGGUAGGCCCCUUUAGCAUAGACCCCAGGGCAGGCCGAAGCAGCCUCCAAUGGUGCAUCAGAUGGACCCUGGUAAUACCCAUUUCCGAAUGGGUUGGUGGCAGUCCCAGCUAAAAGGCUAGCCAAGUUGAUAACCAUGCCGUCCAAGCCCACAUCAUUGUUGGGUGCAACUAAUGGUGGGCUCUGUGGGCCGUAAAUGGGCUGGUGGAAUGGCCAGGCACAUUGACCCGGGCACUGGGUCUCCGAGUUACCAACCCAGAUGUAGGCAAACUUGCUGUGAUUCUUUCCUUUCAAGAGGGCAGUCUUGGAAGCUACAGAACCAUGGGUUCCGCAUCUACUGGAACAGAAACCUUCAACUGCGACGUCGGCUGAAGUCAAGACUACAUUAAUGGCGUUCGUUUGAUCACCCUUUGCUGCCAAUUGUUGUACUUGCUGCAUUGUGAGUGAUUUACCCAGUGAGCAUUUCUCGUCAGAGAUUUGAUUGCCUACGUCCAGUUGUAGGGAAGAUGAUUUCUUGGAUUUGAUCAGGUGAUAGUACUUCUCUAUAGCUCCCCACCAUGUAGAAACAGAAGGUUGCGCCUCAGAUUUUGAAGACGAUAACGAGGCAAUGAAAUCAGAUAUUAUGGCUUUCUGAGAUGGCUUGAAAUUUCCAUACCAGAUGAGAUUGACGGUGAUCUUGCCAGUAAGAAGUGGGCCCUUGUGGUAUUUGA